rnacentral:rRNA from 1 species
GUGAACGCUGGCGGCGUGCUUAACACAUGCAAGUCGAACGGACUUAAGGGGCUUGCUUCUUAAGUUAGUGGCGCACGGGUGAGUAAUAUAUAGCUAACCUGCCCUUUAGUGGGGGACAACAGUUGGAAACGACUGCUAAUACCCUAUACUCCUUCUUACUAUAAGGUAAGUUGGGAAAGAUUUAUCGCUAAAGGAUGGGGCUUUAUUGUAUCAGCUAGUUGGUGGGGUAAUGGCCUACCAAGGCUAUGACGCAUACCUGGUCUGAGAGGAUGAUCAGGCACACUGGAACUGAGACACGGUCCAGACUCCUACGGGAGGCAGCAGUGGGGAAUAUUGCACAAUGGAGGAAACUCUGAUGCAGCAACGCCUCGUGGAGGAUGACGCAUUUCGGUGUGUAAACUCCUUCUAUAGGGGAAGAUAAUGACGGUACCCUAUGAAUAAGCACCGGCUAACUCCGUGCCAGCAGCCGCGGUAAUACGGAGGGUGCAAGCGUUACUCGGAAUCACUGGGCGUAAAGGAUGCGUAGGCUGGAAAUCAAGUCGAGAGUGAAAUCCAACGGCUCAACCGUUGAACUGCUCUCGAAACUGGUUACCUAGAAUAUGGGAGAGGUAGAUGGAAUUAGUGGUGUAGGGGUAAAAUCCGUAGAUAUCACUAGGAACACCGAUUGCGAAGGCGAUCUACUGGAACAUUAUGACGCUGAGGCA